rnacentral:rRNA from 1 species
ACAUGCAAGUCGAGGGGUAUAGUUCUUCGGAACUAGAGACCGGCGCACGGGUGCGUAACGCGUAUGCAAUCUACCUUUUACAGAGGGAUAGCCCAGAGAAAUUUGGAUUAAUACCUCAUAGUAUGCAGAGUUGGCAUCAACACUGCAUUAAAGUCACAACGGUAAAAGAUGAGCAUGCGUCCCAUUAGCUAGUUGGUAAGGUAACGGCUUACCAAGGCUACGAUGGGUAGGGGUCCUGAGAGGGAGAUCCCCCACACUGGUACUGAGACACGGACCAGACUCCUACGGGAGGCAGCAGUGAGGAAUAUUGGACAAUGGGCGCAAGCCUGAUCCAGCCAUGCCGCGUGCAGGAUGACGGUCCUAUGGAUUGUAAACUGCUUUUAUACGAGAAGGAACACUCCAACGUGUUGGAGCUUGACGGUAUCGUAAGAAUAAGGAUCGGCUAACUCCGUGCCAGCAGCCGCGGUAAUACGGGGGAUCCAAGCGUUAUCCGGAAUCAUUGGGUUUAAAGGGUCCGUAGGCGGUUUAAUAAGUCAGUGGUGAAAAGCCCAUCGCUCAACGGUGGAACGGCCAUUGAUACUGUUAAACUUGAAUUAUUAGGAAGUAACUAGAAUAUGUAGUGUAGCGGUGAAAUGCUUAGAAGAUUACAUGGA